rfam:Eutrema salsugineum unplaced genomic scaffold scaffold_8, whole genome shotgun sequence.
CCGACCUUAGCUCAGUUGGUAAAUCGGAGGAGUGUAGUUGAAGCAGGAUAUCCUUAGGUCACUGGUUCAAAUCCGGUAGGUCGGA